UGGGGAAUAUUGGACAAUGGGGGAGACCCUGAUCCAGCCAUGCCGCGUGAGUGACGAAGGCCUUCGGGUUGUAAAGCUCUUUUACAUGGGAAGAUAAUGACGGUACCAUGAGAAUAAGCACCGGCUAACUUCGUGCCAGCAGCCGCGGUAAUACGAAGGGUGCAAGCGUUGUUCGGAAUUACUGGGUGUAAAGGGCGUGUAGGCGGACUUGCAAGUUAGUGGUGAAAGCCUUGGGCUUAACCUGAGACGUGCCAUUGAUACUGUGGGUCUGGAGUAUCAGAGAGGAUGACGGAAUAUCCAGUGUAGAGGUGAAAUUCGUAGAUAUUGGAUAGAACACCGGUGGCGAAGGCGGUUAUCUGGCUGAUUACUGACGCUGAGGCGCGAGAGCGUGGGGAGCAAA
rnacentral:rRNA from 1 species